GAAACGGCAGCCGCUCAGUCCCGCGGCGGAUCUCGCGAGGUCAGCUGGCGGCCUCUGGGGGCAAGACCGUUAUUACGGUCGGAGGGAGGGGACGCAUGUCACUUCGGGGAACCCCGCGCGAUCCGCCGCGGGUGCCGACGGGAGAGCCGCUAACCCACCGGAAGCACUGCGAAAUACGACCGUCCGCCCUUGCGCAAGCCUCUUACAUCGAGGACGGACGGACGACUCCUUCCGCGGCUGCCGGAUCUAAUUUGGUAGCUCUUCCGAUUGUCGACCUCCGCCCUGCGCGAUGACGUAUAUCCCCGCCCUUCGCUCGCAGGCGGUGGCCUGUGAUGUCACAGCGGGCGCCUCUUGUGGUCGCCGGGUUGAGACUUGGUAGCUGGGCAGGGGCGGGGCAACGCUGUUCUCGCCGCCACACCCUCCCUUGUUGUAGAGGGGUCGCCGCUGUCAUUUAUUGACAUUUAAAUCUGAACCGGGCGGAUUUCCUUUUUUUUUUUUUUCCCUCCUCCUCGGGCAGCGCGUUUAUCGGUGGCCGGCGGGGCUCAGUCCUCCUUGGGAAUUUCCUGAUCAGGGUGGAAAGCGGACAUCUGAGCGGGGUGUGUCCUGCCAGGCGGCGAAAAGUAGCGGCGAAAUGUGCGCUUGCAGCUUUGGGGGAGUUUGUGUCGCUCAGUUUGCUGUUACUCGCCGCCGUCCUGGAGGCUGGAGGAGCGGCGCCUGGUCCGCGGGGGAGAAACUGAUGUGAUUUCGGAGUACUUGACAUUUAAUUUUCUUUGGACCGGCCCCGGGGAGAGAGCUUGAGAAACUGGAGAGGAAAAGCUAGUUGAGGGGACCGGGUGGUGGCGCACCUGGUUGAGCAAAAACCUGGGUUCGAGCCCCCCCCCCCCCCCCCCCCGUCCCCACCUGCAGGGGGAAAGCUUUGCAGGUGGUGAAGCAGUGUUGCAGGCGUCUCUCCCUCUCUAUCACGCCUUUCCUCUCGAUUUCUGGCUGUCUCUAUCCAAUAAGUUAAGUUAAAAAAAUUAAAAAAGAAAAAGCCAGUUGACCCCUCCCCCAGGGAUCAUGAUUGUGUGAUUUAGUUCUAAAAACAAGGCCACGGGGCCGCGGACAUCACGUGGAGUCAUUUCUGCGAAGACCAAGUUCCCCAAACAGACCAAAUGAGUUUGACUUCUCCCAAAAAGGAAAUCUGACCAGCACCGGUGAGGUCAUGCGCCUGGGGGCCUCUGUUCUGUGCUGUUCCUCCUCUGCCUAGAAAAGGAGCUUCUGUCACUGAACAGAAAUCAAUAAUGAAAGACCCUGAGCAGAAGUGGAAUCCAGGUCACGAGAAGGUCACACCAGUAACUGAUCUGCUUAAUAAAUCUGCCUUCAGGCUUGGGCAUCUUU